CAGAGUAAGGGCGACUGAAAUGUCACAAGCUCAGCAUGUGAAUCAGCGUUUAUUUUCAUAAAUGCUGAAUUGUGGUCUUACGAUUCUUGCAACACUUAGUCCAGUCCAUGUUUUUUGGAAUAAAAUAGCAAAGAGGGUGAAACUCCUGUUUGUCUGGACUUGCGAAGCAAAAAUCACUGAGUCGAGUUGUUUGGGAUUGCAGCUCAAAUGCGGUGGUAAAUUCCAUCUCAAGCUAAAUACUGGCAGGAAACCGAUAUCGAAAAAGUACCGUGAGGGAAAGAUGAAAAGAACUUUGAAAAGAGAGUGAAAGAGUACCUGAAAUUGCUGAAAAGGAAGCGAACGAAGCUAGUGAUCGCUGAGUCAUACUUUCCACAUUGCUUGCAAUUUGGACGCUGUGGCCGGCCGAGUCCGACUUGAUUGUAAGUUGUGAAAACAGGCAAAGAAAAGUUUUUUUCUUUUGCCUCAUGCAUGAAUUGCAAUUGAGUUGAACAAAAUAGAUUUGUUUGCCCCGUCUAGAAACACGGACCAAGGAGUCUAACAUAUGUGCGAGUACUGGGGUGCACAACCUCGGUGCGGAAUGAAAGUGUCAGAGGCUAGAAUGAAUUU
rnacentral:rRNA from 1 species